rnacentral:rRNA from 1 species
GUGGGGAAUAUUGGGCAAUGGGGGAAACCCUGACCCAGCAACGCCGCGUGAAGGAAGACGGUUUUCGGAUUGUAAACUUCUUUUAUCGGGGACGAAAAAAAUGACGGUACCCGAAGAAAAAGCCACGGCUAACUACGUGCCAGCAGCCGCGGUAAUACGUAGGGAGCAAGCGUUAUCCGGAUUUACUGGGUGUAAAGGGCGAGUAGGCGGGCCGACAAGUUGGGAGUGAAAUCCGGGGGCUUAACCCCCGAACUGCUUUCAAAACUGUUGGUCUUGAGUGAUGGAGAGGCAGGCGGAAUUCCCAGUGUAGCGGUGAAAUGCGUAGAUAUUGGGAGGAACACCAGUGGCGAAGGCGGCCUGCUGGACAUUAACUGACGCUGAGGCGCGAAAGCGUGGGGAGCAAACAGGAUUAGAAACCCUUGUAGUCC